rnacentral:rRNA from 1 species
GACAGAGGGGCCGAGCGUUAGGCGGAAUCACUGGGCUUAAAGAGUGUGUAGGUGGAUGCCUAAGUACCUUGUGAAAUCCCACGGCUUAACCGUGGAACUGCUUGGUAUACUGGGUGUCUUGAGCCAGCUAGGGGCUACCGGAACAAAUGGUGGAGCGGUGAAAUGCGUAGAUAUCAUUUGGAACGCCAAUGGUGAAAACAGGUAGCUGGGGCUGUGCUGACACUGAGACACGAAAGCCAGGGGAGCGAACGGG